rnacentral:rRNA from 1 species
UACAGAGGUCUCAAGCGUUGUUCGGAUUCAUUGGGCGUAAAGGGUGCGUAGGCGGCGCGGUAAGUCGGGUGUGAAAUCUCGGGGCUUAACUCCGAAACUGCAUUCGAUACUGCCGUGCUUGAGGACUGGAGAGGAGACUGGAAUUUACGGUGUAGCGGUGAAAUUCGUAGAUAUUCGGAAGAACACCAGUGGCGAAGGCGGCUCACUGGACUGGUAUUGACGCUGAGGUGCGAAAGCGUGGGGAGCAAACAGG